rfam:Ictidomys tridecemlineatus contig000408, whole genome shotgun sequence.
GGUGAUAUAGCUCAGUUGGUAGUGUGCUUGUCUUGUAUGCACAAGUCCCUGGGUUCAAUCCCCAGCACCACCA